GGGCUUAUGAGUUGUACGGUGUGUAUGUGUUAGUUUCCGCGUUAAUUCCUUCAAUGUAUUGGAAUGUCCGUAGCUGCGAUUUGUUGUGUUGUUAUCCAAAAUUAGACUUCACAUUUGGUAUUACCAGAUAAUAUCAAUAUGUAGCUUUAUUAAGCGAAAUUUUGCGUUUAUAUCAAAUUUGUUGUUCUACAUCAAGGGCAGGUUGGUCGACAUUGCUUUGUACUGUCACAUGUCUAGAGGGAGCCUUAUGAAUAAAGAAUAUGCGGUAGGUACUUUUUUCGACAUCGAGGGAGUCUUCAAUAAUGUGCGGUCGGAGGCGGUAAUAAAAUUCCUCGAAAAGUUCUGGUAGAAUCGAGACUCAAGCAUCUCAUAUGUAGUUUUCAUUGUAGUAUUGGAUUAGGGUAGCGCACGUGCAUCACGAAAGUACAAUAGGGGCACUUGCUGGUAAAUAACGCACUGAAAGAACUCGAAAAGCGUAACAAAAAUUAAGGGAGGCAUAAAUCUCAGAUGUCCCUCUCUCCUCAUUUGGAGGUACACGUCUUCAAACUGUUGACAAGGCGACGUACCUGGGGCUUAUCCUUGAUAGAAAGCCUUAAUGGAGGCCAAAUAUUUUGGAAACAGUAAGGAAGGUAUAGGUUGCCCUUUACUGCUGUAGUAAACUAUUGGAAACAGGUGGGGCAUUUUACAAAAGUGGUUUCUCUCACCAAAAUUUGAGUUUUAGCUCUACGAAACCGUAGUCAAGUUGUCAAGUCAAAAAUGUUUUAUAAAGUAUUCGUUAUGCUUGAAGGCUUCGACUACUGCGUUGCAGAGUCUUUUCUUGGCGGCUCUCUGCCCACAUACUGACAUGGGAUAUGUGGACGCAGCUUUGUCGCUGAAGAAGAGACACAUAGAGCUUUUUUACGGAUGGGUUGAAGCUCGGUGGAAGGGUUGGAGGGGAAGUUUUCAGGCAAAAAGAGCUGCCAAUAAGGUAACAGUAGACGUAUUGCUCCGAAGUGUUACUUAAUUUAGGAAAAUUAGCACUUAUUCCGACAGCACAAUGACAAUACUACCGUUGAACUCGCUCACAGUGCGCUCAAAUUUAAUUGAGGAAGGGUCUAUUCUAACUACCAAUAGCAUUAAGCUACCUCAUUAUCCGACUACCUAGUUAUGCUGCCGAAACUGAUUUUAGCCUCCUCAACAUAUUUGUGGCAAUUUUUUGAAUUAUGAGGGUAUUUAUGAUCAAUAUAUAGGAUUUUUACGUAACUCAACGGACCGACGUUCAAAGCUGUCCACGUGAGAUGCCUGUUGAUGCCUAUAACUGGAUAGGCCCUUUAACCUAACCUGGCUAAUCAAUAGUUUUUUUUGAAGAAAACAAACUGAUAUUUAAAGGAAAGUAUUCACUUAGAUUUAGCAAAAUCUUUAAUCAAAAGAAUUUAAAAAUUAUUUGCAUAUUUACAUACAUAUGUAUCUUAUUACAGCUAGUAUCUUAUACGUUUUUGAUAUUUUCUGUACAAAUCUCAUUUUAUAUAACGGGUGAUCCAAGUAGAGGUACUUUUUUAAUAGCCUUUUUUUGACAGAUCACGCGUGAGUCGGGUUAAGCUGCCAUGUAUUUUUGUUCAGUAUUGUUUGGCAUUUUAUUAUAAUAAUAAUAAUAACCCAAUGAUUACCAUCCUUCCACCGAACCAACGCAAGUGGCGCAACCCGCAUACGUGCGGAAUUAGCCGAGUCAGAAAAUGCAAGCGAGUUUUUUAAGUGUUGAGAUCUUAA